rnacentral:rRNA from 1 species
AAUCAACGCUGGCGGCGUGCCUAACACAUGCAAGUCGAACGCGAAAGGGGCUUCGGCCCUGAGUAGAGUGGCGUCCGGGUGAGUAACGCGUGGGUAAUCUACCCUCGGGUGGGGAAUAACCAAUCGAAAGAUUGGCUAAUACCGCAUAAUGCAGCGGCUCGACAUCGAGACAGUUGUUAAAGCAGCAAUGCGCCAGAGGAGGAGCCUGCGUCUGAUUAGCUGCUGGCGGGGUAACGGCCCACCAAGGCUACGAUCAGUAGCUGGUCUGAGAGGACGGCCAGCCACAAUGGCACUGAAACACGGGCCAUACUCCUACGGGAGGCAGCAGUGGGGAAUUUUGCGCAAUGGGCGAAAGACCUGACGCAGCGACGCCGCGUGGGGGAUGAAGGUCUUCGGAUUGUAAACCCCUUUCGGGAGGGAAGAUGGGACGGGCAACCGUUCGGACGGUACCUCCAGAAGCAGCCACGGCUAACUUCGUGCCAGCCGCCGCCGUAAC